rnacentral:rRNA from 1 species
AGUGAACGCUGGCGGUAGGCCUAACACAUGCAAGUCGAACGGCAGCACAGUAAGAGCUUGCUCUUACGGGUGGCGAGUGGCGGACGGGUGAGGAAUACAUCGGAAUCUACUUUUUCGUGGGGGAUAACGUAGGGAAACUUACGCUAAUACCGCAUACGACCUACGGGUGAAAGCAGGGGAUCUUCGGACCUUGCGCGAUUGAAUGAGCCGAUGUCGGAUUAGCUAGUUGGCGGGGUAAAGGCCCACCAAGGCGACGAUCCGUAGCUGGUCUGAGAGGAUGAUAAGCCACACUGGAACUGAGACACGGUCCAGACGCCUACGGGAGGCAGCAGUGGGGGAUAUUGGACAAUGGGCGCAAGCCUGAUCCAGCCAUACCGCGUGGGUGAAGAAGGCCUUCGGGUUGUAAAGCCCUUUUGUUGGGAAAGAAAAGCAGCAGGUUAAUACCCCGCUGUUCUGACGGUACCCAAAGAAUAAGCACCGGCUAACUUCGUG